UUUGAAAGAAGAUUGAGAAGAAAGGAAUGUCGAAAACAAGGACCCAAAGCAUUCUAGAAGAUACCAUUGGUCCAGGCUCUGGCCCUGGCAGCCACCUGUCAGCAGUUCACGGGCGGGCUCCAGACUCAGCAGGAACGGAGGGAACUCACUGCAGCUAGUGGAAGGAAGACCUCACAUGGCCAAGUGGUCAGUUCUCCCCUAAUGGAUCCCAGCAUUUGACACAAUUCCAAUCAAAAUUGCAAUGGGAAUUUUUUAAUCUUGA